GGCAAGAGAUGCUUUGGCACCACCUGUUGGCCAGAAGCAGGAAGAAAAAGGUAAGUGUCCAAGCACAGAAUGCAUGCUCGAAGCCAGCCUCAUUCGCCGUUACCUUGUUCCUGUGGCAGCGCUGGAUGAAGUCAAGAUGCUGUUCAACUGCGCACAAAAACACGAAAUA